rnacentral:sRNA from 1 species
CCAUAAAGGUUAGUAUUACCCUUAUGGUUUAGAUGUAGCAUGUAGCA